UUAUUAUUAUUCUUCAAUAUUUCACUUGAGUCUUUAGCUAUGUCACGUAAACAGACUAAAUAUCUGGUAGCAAUGAUAGACAAAAGGUCAUAAAAGUGUAUCUUGAACACUGAUGAUUAUUAUUCAUAAGAACUUUAUUGAAGACUUGUCCCCAAAUCUUUUGCAAGGAUGCAGCUGUCAGAGGAGCUGGCCCGGGGUGACGCAGCUUUCAGUUUACAACAUGAUACACAACACCAGAAAUCUUCCUGCUGUGUGACAUCUCGGUACUCAGUGGUGAGCAGACUCUCCCCAGACAGUUCCCUCGGCUGCGGUUGGAGAACUUCCUCUUUGUCAAGGUCUGUCUCCAUUAAAUCUUCCUGUCACAAGCAUCAACUCAUCAGCCUCUAAUGUGCUGAAUGGGGGACUUACAUCAUUGUCGUCCUCUUCUUCUUCAUCGUCUGAUUCUGGGCCCUCUUCCUCAGCUGGGUGGAACAUAACCACAGCCCAAGGAUUAAACAGUCAAGCUGACCUACCAUUUUUCCGCUGACGGUGGCCUCCAAAGAGUCGACCAGCUCAGCAGUGAUUCCAAUCAGGUUGUGGUAGUCGGCCUGCAUCUUGUUGAACCUCCGCACAUAGCUGGCAAUGC